AGUGAACGCUGGCGGUAGGCCUAACACAUGCAAGUCGAACGGCAGCACAGUAAGAGCUUGCUCUUACGGGUGGCGAGUGGCGGACGGGUGAGGAAUACAUCGGAAUCUACUUUUUCGUGGGGGAUAACGUAGGGAAACUUACGCUAAUACCGCAUACGUCCUACGGGUGAAAGCAGGGGAUCUUCGGACCUUGCGCGAUUGAAUGAGCCGAUGUCGGAUUAGCUAGUUGGCGGGGUAAAGGCCCACCAAGGCGACGAUCCGUAGCUGGUCUGAGAGGAUGAUCAGCCACACUGGAACUGAGACACGGUCCAGACUCCUACGGGAGGCAGCAGUGGGGAAUAUUGGACAAUGGGCGCAAGCCUGAUCCAGCCAUACCGCGUGGGUGAAGAAGGCCUUCGGGUUGUAAAGCCCUUUUGUUGAGAAAGAAAAGCAGCAGGUUAAUACCCCGCUGUUCUGACGGUACCCAAAGAAUAAGCACCGGCUAACUUCGUA
rnacentral:rRNA from 1 species